GAGGAUAAGGGCUCCGGGAAAAUGUUUCCACUAACAGAUGGGUAUACAGGUAUGGAUACAAACCGCAUCAAAGAAAUGGACAAGAAGUUUUUGGAGAACCCAUCUGGAGAUUUUCAAGAGCUUGAUAUAUCGUUGGCAUUAAAAAGAAUUGUAGCAAAGAGUCCCAAAGGGUA